ACGGAAACAGUUUAACCGUAGAUCAUUCACUAUUCCCACUUUGGUCACACUGGGCACCUAGCAAAAUAUCUACAUAGCACUACUACUUAUUGUCGACAACCAAUUUAGCUGAUCUGGAUGUUAAUAUAUGGAUGAAAUUGAUGAAACAAUUUUUAAAUGUUGCUAAUGAUUCAUCUGGAGGAUAGAUGGCAUAAAUUGAAUAAUGCGUUUUUAAGUGACGCAUUCUUCAGUAAAUUGUGCAAUUGUCUGGGCAGCUCAAUUUAGAAAACACAAGCCAGCAGGACAAGAUCUUGGGGCGAGGCGUAUAUUAGGCCUGGGCCUUGCGUGAGCUCAACAAUCUGUAAAUCCAGAGUGAGUCGUCAAGUAAGAGGGUAUCUCUCUGAGCUACAUGCCGCUGCAAUUGGACUCUCCCCCAAUCCAUUGAUUGUCCGCCUCAUUUAUUUGAUUGAAUUGAUAUGGCGUCGCUACAAGAUGUCUGUCAUCUGGUUCACAGUGCUGGCUCUCGCGAGGGUUGAAACAAGACCCUUAAAUUCGUCACGCCAGCACUCCAACCCACACAUCCAUUCAAAUCCGAACUUCACAUAUAAAUUUAAAACACCACACACCGAAUGAAGCGGAAUAGCAUGGGGACAGAAAAUUGUGUUGUUUUGGGCAAUGGAUUUUCAAUAUUACGUCUACUGUUCUGGUAUCAUGUUCACACAUCGUGGUGAGGAAUGGGGGGCUCGAUUGGUCUCUCCAGUCAAUUUAUGAAGCAGUGCCUGGCAUUUAAUAUUUACCCGAUACAUAAGUAGAAAAAACAUACAUACGUACAUAGUGUGUUCGCUUACUUACAAGGUUUCUGGGGAUGAGAGAGUACGGAGCUUUUCACACUUUCCGGGCGGGUUGCGGUUCACGAGCGCAGUUCAAGAGCGUCAGAAAAGUCGUUUCCGAAUAGCUGCCGGCAUCAGCAACACUCUUCAAGUGGUCCCACAGGCCAAGAAAUACUUCAAAAUAAAAAAAAUUGUAUUCGUCUGAAUGGAUUUUCGACUGAGAACUCUCCAGAAAUACAUCUGCUGUGUCUCACUCACUUCAGCGGCACUGUCAGAUUCUGAUUGUCCUACUUGUCGGGAGUUCGUGAAUUAUAUGAUUGUCUGAUUGUCGGUAUAUGCUGCUCAUGUAUCCGCUGGCGGUUCCAUUACGCUGCAGGUGCAUCCCAGCGACGAUGGAGAGGAGCAGCCACUGGUGCUGAACAUUCGCGACUCCACGGAGAUGUUGCCCAUCACUGUGCGGGAUUCCAUCAAGCAACUGCAACGGGCCCACAUGCGGAAUGAUUCCCUAGAGUUCGACUACAUCAAACUGACGACAAUCAUCAUCAUCAACGUCGUCGUCUAAUCGUCUUGAUCAAUCUAAUCUUCGAGUGGCCAGGGAUGUCUGGGUUGGGCGGGGUGUGUGUUAAAUGUACAAAUUCAAAUGGAAAUGUAAAUCCAAUGUUUAUGUUUAUACCACCCAAUUAUCUGCUGAAACCCUGUGGAACCUACAGGGGAUGGAGGUGGUACUUGGAAAUAUGUAGUUGGGGACAUGCCCGUAAAUACUUAUGUAUGUGAGUACAUCAAAACUGGAUCUAUUUUAAGCAGCCCCUCGCGACAGGCGGCAGUCAAACAAACGGGUGUUGCUUGUACCACAUUCAGAUGGUACAUCAGCUUGCAAGACAACGGCGAAAUGCACUAUGGACCAGUCAGAAAGUGGCCCAGGGGAAAUCCCACAGUCUGUGGAUGGGGACCAUAUGCGAUGUAAUGCUAUUUUCGGAAACGAGAGUUUCCAUCGAUGUGAAAUACCUGCUGCCUUACGACGUCGCAACAGUCGAGUUAAGCCUUCAGAUGAGUGUUCCAGAACGAAAUUAAGAAUUAGUUUAUGGCACGACUUUACUCAGACAUAGGGCAUUUUCAGCCCCCCCGCCCAGCGAUAGCAUCUCUAUAGCCACCCCAACCGCACUUCAAAGAUGUCGUGCUUCACACAUUUCAUAGUGUGUUUUUAUCAAAAUUUUUCGAAACACAAAAAGCAGCAAUGUCCCCAUGGUUGUGACGACCGUUUUUAUUGAACAAAUAUUUAGAGUACCUUAUCCGGAUAGUGGGGAUUAGUUAGUAUCUUCCCUUCAUAAAUAGGUGCGCCUUCAGGCAGCAUCGCUGAGGAUCUCUGUGGAGCAUAAAGAAAACAAAAGGCGGAUUUAGUGCUAGUUGACCUUCAGGGACAAAAGCAGGGAGAUAUUCAAAUGUGCUGCCAGAUCUCAAGCUUAUAUACAAAAAUUCAACGGAACAAGGUUGAUCUCAGUACUUCCGCCUUGAUGAUGUAGGUAUCCUAUCCGAGGGGUAAUUGAUUGGCUAAAUUGUAAAUUCGAAAUUCUAGUUAUUGCCUCAUUUGCGUGACUCUUGACUCAUUCUGCGGGCUGCAGACAAAAUGCAAUCGCUUAAGUCGUGGUGCUUGCCACACUACAGCACAGUUUGAGAGCUGGUCCCUCUAGAUGGAGCUGACUUUGAUAAUAAUAGAUAAACAAAAGCGGUUCGGUUGAGCCGUUUUGGGAGUGCAGAAGAGUGAAAGAGCUUACUUAGCCCAUGCCGCACAGAAUGUGUGUGUCAUCGGACAAGGGGUGCGCCUAUUAAAGCCAUAAUCGCGUAGAAGCGGUCAGGCAGGUAAAUUCAUAGGUUGCGACCAAGGGAUGCUAGGUGUUCACUUUUGCUUCUAUUUGAAUAAAUUGAAUUUCGAGUUUUUUUUAAAUUUUAGUCUCCAAAAAAAGGCCCUGUCUAUAUGCCAUAUACUGCUAGCACUUGAUUUCAAGUGAAAUGUGAAAUGAAGAAUCCGCAACAUUACAUUCUAUCCGGCCCAUUGCCUUCAUUAGUUGUGUAUCAGUCCAGAACUGUCCGACGGAAUGGAAUGGAAAGGGCUUUCGAAUGUGUUAAUGUGUUCCCUUGACAGACGAGGCAUCAGCAGUUUGACUGUACUAUACUCUGAAAGGCAAUGACUUGCCGAACUCCCUCAAGCACAUGGUAUCAAUGCACGCAAUGUGUCCAUACGGUACGUAACGAUUUCCCUGAACCAAGUUAAUAAAGUAGAAAUUACAUAUAGUAGAAGUAAACGAUCCUUUAUGUUAUAUUAGUUGGCCAAUCAAGCGUU